ensembl:lncRNA
GGAUGCUGUAUGUUUGUUGGUUUUGCCCCUUGCCAUUUGGGAAUCUAAUGAAUAGCAUGAAAAGGCAUAGUCUUUGCAAAAAUGGUCUGGAAAAGUUUCAAAACAAAUGUUUAACUAUAACCUUCAACAACAACAAAGAGUAAGAAAGAAAGAGACAAAAGAGAAAACUAGAAAAUUUUAACAAAUUUUAUUUUCAGAGUACUGCAUUGAAAUAAUCAAAUACCCAAUUAAAAAAUCACAAGGCAUUCAAAGAAGCAGGACCAUAUGGUUCAUUCAAAGGAAUAUUAAAUGAUGGAAGCUGUCCUUGAAGAAACCUUGACAUCAGAAUCACUAUACAACCACUCUAAAACUAUAGUCUUAAUAUGCUUAAAGAGCUAAAAGAAAACAUAGGCAAAGAACUAAAUUAAAUCAGGAAAAAUAAUAUAUGAACACAAUGAAACUAUCAAUAAAGAUAUUGUUGAUCUUUACAAAAAUUACAAAAAUAGAAUCAAACAAAUUCUGGAGUUGAAAAGUGCAAUGACUAAAAUGAAAAUUCACCAGAAGACUGCAACAAGAGAGUAAAGAAGGCAGAAGAAAGAAUAGUAAACCAGAAGAUUAGAUAAACCAAAGUGUUGAAUCUAAGAAAUAGGACAAAAAUGAAAAGUAAACAGCAUAAGAAACUUUUGGAACAUCAUUUAAUGGACCAAUUUAUGCAUUAAGGAACUUACAAAAGAUAAAAGUAAUGGUCCAAGAAUUAUUUGGAAAAAUAAUGGUUUAACACUUUUCAAAUGUGAAGAAAGACAUGAGUCUUCAAAUCCAAAAACUUUAAGAAGGAUCACCCAAGAGACUCAUAUGAAGACCCAUUGUGAGCAAGUGUCAAAAGAAAAAGACAAAAAGAAUCUCAAAAGUAGCAAGGGAAAAAUAACUUGUCACAUAUAUGGGAUCUUCAGUCAAAUUAUCAACUGAUUUUUCAUAAGAAGCCAUGGAGGGCAAAAUGUAAUUCUAUGGUAUUUAUUAAAUGGUCAAAGAAGAAAACUGUCAAAUGAGAAUUCUAAAUCUGGCAAAGCAUAGAAGAAAAUAAUUCUGUCUACAUAACCAGGUUAAUUGUACUGAAGCAGGGCUUUGAAAAUAUUGUUAUCCUAUUUAUGAUGUUUCAAUGGUUCUCCAUUGCCUACAAGAUAUCCCGCUCAGAGUGAAAGCUGACUAGCACAGGGCUUAACACAGAGGAGCUGAAACCCCAUCUUUGCCAAAACAUCAGGCUGCCUUUCUUUCUGGAAAGACUUACCUCAGAAGCUGCGUGCAACAACUACUUAAACAAGGUGGAUGUUUCUUUUACUCUGCUGUAAAUGUCUGGGUGAAGAUACUUCAGGUGGGCAUUCUUUGAAGACCUUCUUUUCUGCCUCUGAGUCAUAAAGUCUCCUGAUCUCCAGAACCCGGCUCACCUGCACGAGUAGCAUCUGUCCUGCUGUCACCUUCUGAAGCGUGUACUGCUGCCAGCCCGGCCAGAGCACCUGACAUCCGCCCGACCCUCCCCACCUUGGUGGUGACCCUGAGUUUCUCUGCCUUCUGCCUUCCCCAGGAUGAUGUCUGCUAUGCGUUUAUCAUCAGUCGUCAUCUUGUGAUCCACAAACUUAUUUCUUUCCACCUGUUCCAUGGCUUCUUCAUGCGCUCUGGAUGUCAUUUUGGCCUUUUGCAGAGCAGCCGCAAGCUGAGAUUGGCCAGCUUCUCCUUCCGGUCUGGGGAUGUAUUGGGUCGUUGAUUCAUUAACACCAAACUGGGCUCAGCCGCACUGUCACUCAUGCCCACUCCAGCUUCUCUGACACGCGUACCUUAGGGUGCAUCACUGCCCUCCUGCUUAGGAGCUCUAGCAGCCACCAGCACUGAAGCAUCCAGGUCACUUUCAACAGAAAAAUCAUUAAAAUGCACAUGCACGUGAAAAACAUGGCACUGAAUAAGUAGACCGAGAAAAGGACGCUUGCUUUACAGCACUGAGCUGAAACAAGAAGGCUGUGUGGUUGCGUUCAGCCUCCUCGGGACCAUGUGUGGCAAGUGUCUGACAAUGACCGCCGACAGCGUGCCUACUGACUCUGGUGUUACAGUAGACUUUAGCAAGUAGGUAAAUUCACAAAUACAGAAUCCACCAGCAGCAAUGAUGAACUAUACGAAUUUGCUUCCGAACGCUCAUUUCUCUUUCUUUGUCUCUUGGGAUGUUUCUGCCUCACGACCACAUUUUAUUACUGUAGUUUUGAAUUGUGUGACUAUUCAAGAGAAUGGAUGUCUCCCCGGUUUGCUUUCGUUUUCAAAAUUGAUUUUCCUAUUUUGUGCACUUUUAUUUUUCUAUGAAUAUGUAAUGAUACAGUUUUUGAACCCUCAAAUAAUCCAGCUGGAAUCAUGCGAGGCAUUGAUUCAAUUUACAGAUUAAUUAGGAAAUGAGUGACUUUAGAAGGUUAAGUUAUCCAUUGAUGAGCAUGGUAUAUCUCAAUAUUUAUUCAGAUUUUCUUUUGUAUCAACUAAAACUAUCUACAUUUUUUCUUUUACAUUAUUUAUUAGGAAUAUUCUUAGG